GUAGCUCUGCUUGUGGCUGGAGUGACAGACUUGGACUUCAGAGACCUGGAUCUUCCUCCAAGUUCUGUAACUUCAUAGACUUGUUGGACAAACAUGAAAUUCUCUGUGCCUCGGUGUCCCCAUUGGUAAAGUGGUCCUGUACAUGGAAGGAAAUUAUACCAUGCACCUUCUCCUAAAAUCAUUGAACUAUGUGGAUAAAGAGCUGUGGUUAGAAAUUAGAUUGCCUGGGACAGGAUGCUGCCAGGUCUGUGGGUCUGCACUUUGUCCACCUGUGCCUGCUUCUGGUCAUGGAUGCAGCUACAGGUUUUGGGAGGAGGUUUCCUGGUGGGGCACUUUGUAGAGGAGGAAGUAGGCAAGAGCUUACAGCAUCUGUCUACCUUCAAGGAAGUUAUCAUGUUACCCCCUAUAGUGCACUUCAAGCCACAGACACAAGCUGUCACCUUUGCUAUGACUUCUGCUAUUCUCUUAAAAAAAAAAAAAAAAAAAAAAAAAAACACCAACAGAAAA